UGAUCGAUAAGUGAUAACUAAAACAUAAACAGACUUAGAGCAAACUUUACAAUACCGCGUUUUAUGAUCAACAUUGAGGAUAAGACGUAUAGCUUCUACUCCUUGUACCUGUGAUGUUAAGAUACUUCCUAUACCUUGUUGGGCUCUUCAGGUUGUCUGCAGCUGCAUGUUAUCCUGAGUGGUCCUUCUGUGUGGAAAACAUACAGCAACGAGAGGAGACAAGUGCCUACUGUCAUGAUGUUGUGGAAACCGUCAGCUGCAUCUUCCAGCAGUACCCGUGUGCCCCAUCUGAUCUAGAGGUACGGUCACUUCUUGCUGUGGUCAGAAGGAAACUAACGCUGCUGAAUUUUGACUUGAGGGAAAAG